UCCCUGGGGGUCCAGUGGCUAAGAUUCUGCCCUCCCAAUGCAAGGGGCCCAGGUUCUAUUCCUGAUCAGGGAA
rnacentral:tRNA from 1 species